UCUCAUAUCAGGUCCCAUGAGCCCUACUGUUGCCUGUUUACUUUUGAAUUUACAAACACAUCAAACCAUCUAUUUGUUUGUCCAUUUAGAUAACAAUGUCUGACUCAUGGCCAGUCCCAAAUUGUAAUGGCGACGAUGCCGCUACACAAGGCGAUGGAAUAUGAGUCCUGCUCUUCUCGCGGAGGAGCUCCACCUAAAAUUGGUGGAGGACCUCAACGCAUCAGAGAAUUUCU
rnacentral:misc_RNA from 1 species